rnacentral:rRNA from 1 species
UCGAGGAUCUUCGGCAAUGGGCGCAAGCCUGACCGAGCGACGCCGCGUGUGGGAUGAAGGCCUUCGGGUUGUAAACCACUGUCAGUGGGGAGGAAGGACUGGUGUAGAGCCAGUUUUGACCUAUCCGCAGAGGAAGUGUGGGCUAAGUCCGUGCCAGCAGCCGCGGUAAGACGGACCACACGAACGUUAUUCGGAAUUACUGGGCUUAAAGGGUGCGUAGGCUGUGCAGAAAGUUGGGUGUGAAAUCCCUCGGCUCAACCGAGGAACUGCGCCCAAAACUACUGUGCUUGAGAAAGAUAGAGGUAAGCGGAACUUAGGGUGGAGCGGUGAAAUGCGUUGAUAUCCUAAGGAACACCGGUGGCGAAAGCGGCUUACUGGGUCUUUUCUGACGCUGAGGCACGAAAGCUAGGGUAGCGAACGG